UUGCUGCUCACUUUGCAGCACCUCGCCAGCUCCCUGGUAACACUCUGCACCUGCCGUCGAACUCUCUCAGGUUCGGUCAUCCCUGCUCCCUUCCAAAUCAACGCCCCUCCACUCGACUCUACUACUGUGUCGUGCGCGCGCUUCCUCCUGCUUCCGUCGCUGGGUGCGUGCUCAUCUUCCGUCGCGUGCCACCUGGUCGAUAGAAUGAGCAGUUUGGUCGUCCCCAUCUCGCCGUGGUUCGUCCUCACCAUGUUUUCAGAUGUGUUUGGGCUGAGAUGCCAUUCGAAAUCGAUGAUCUGUUCGUCGCCACCGGCCGCAAGCACCAGUUUUGUUGAACGUGAAAUCAGCAUAGCACUCGCCAAGCAUUCUACAGAAGAGCCCUCAACAGAAGGAGUGAAGAUUCAAGAUGAAGUGGUAGCUGAAGAGGAGUUUGCUCUAGUGCCUGUUCAUCAAGUGGAUGUAGCCAUCUAA
rnacentral:misc_RNA from 1 species